rnacentral:rRNA from 1 species
GGGGGGGGGGGGGGGGGGGCGGGAGGGGGGGGAGGCGAGCGGGGGGGCGCGGGGGGGCGGGCGGGGGGGAGUGGCGAACGGGGGAGUGACACGUGAGGAACCUGGCCCGGACUGUGGGAGAGGCGCUGGCAGCGGCGUCUCAUGCUGGAUACGAGACGGUUCCGCAUUGGCCCGUUCUGGAAAUGUUGUCGGGUGGGUGUGUGCUCGCGGCCUAUCAGCUGGUUGGUGAGGUAAUGGCUCACCAAGGCGACGACGGGUAGCCGGCCUGAGAGGGCGACCGGCCACACUGGGACUGAGACACGGCCCAGACUCCUACGGGAGGCAGCAGUGGGGAAUAUUGCACAAUGGGCGAAAGCCUGAUGCAGCGACGCCGCGUGAGGGAUGACGGCCUUCGGGUUGUAAACCUCUUUCAGCAGGGAAGAAGCGAAAGUGACGGUACCUGCAGAAGAAGCACCGGCUAACUACGUG